rnacentral:rRNA from 1 species
AGCAGUAGCCGCGGUAAAACAGAGGGUGCGAGCGUUAAUCGGAUUUACUGGGCGUAAAGCGUGCGUAGGCGGCUUCUUAAGUCGGAUGUGAAAUCCCUGAGCUUAACUUAGGAAUUGCAUUCGAUACUGGGAAGCUAGAGUAUGGGAGAGGAUGGUAGAAUUCCAGGUGUAGCGGUGAAAUGCGUAGAGAUCUGGAGGAAUACCGAUGGCGAAGGCAGCCAUCUGGCCUAAUACUGACGCUGAGGUACGAAAGCAUGGGGAGCAAACAGGAUUAGAUACCCCGGUAGUCCCUGUCUCUUAUAC